UGCAGUCGAACGAGGUCCAUGCAGUGGCAACACUGCGGAAGACCUAGUGGCGAACGGGUGAGUAACACGUGAGGGACUUGCCCCGGAGACCGGGAUAACCCUCCGAAAGGAGAGCUAAUACCGGAUGUCCUCACCGAGUCGCAUGGUUUGGUGAGGAAAUGGAUUCCGCUCCGGGAGAGCCUCGCGGCCUAUCAGCUAGUUGGUGGGGUAACGGCCCACCAAGGCAUCGACGGGUAGCUGGUCUGAGAGGACGAUCAGCCACACUGGGACUGAGACACGGCCCAGACUCCUACGGGAGGCAGCAGUGGGGAAUCUUGCGCAAUGGGCGAAAGCCUGACGCAGCAACGCCGCGUGCGGGAUGAAGGCCCUCGGGUUGUAAACCGCUUUCAGUGGGGACGAACCAAGACGGUACCCACAGAAGAAGCCCCGGCCAACUACGUGCCAGCAGCCGCGGUAACACGUAGGGGGCAAGCGUUGUCCGGAUUCAUUGGGCGUAAAGAGCUCGUAGGCGGUUCGAUAAGUCGGGUGUGAAACCUCCAGGCUCAACCUGGAGACGCCACCCGAUACUGUCGUGACUAGAGUCCAGUAGGGGAGCGUGGAAUUCCUGGUGUAGCGGUGAAAUGCGCAGAUAUCAGGAGGAACACCAGCGGCGAAGGCGGCGCUCUGGGCUGGAACUGACGCUGAGGAGCGAAAGCGUGGGGAGCGAACAGGAUUAGAUACCCUGGUAGUCCACGCCGUAAACGUUGGGUACUAGGUGUGGGGUCUUAUCAACGGAUUCCGUGCCGAAGCUAACGCAUUAAGUACCCCGCCUGGGGAGUACGGCCGC
rnacentral:rRNA from 1 species